UGGGGAAUAUUGCACAAUGGGGGAAACCCUGAUGCAGCGACGCCGCGUGAACGAAGAAGGUAUUCGUAUCGUAAAGUUCUGUCCUAUGGGAAGAUAAUUACAGUACCAUAGAAGAAAGCUCCGGCUAAAUACGUGCCAGCAGCCGCGGUAAUACGUAUGGAGCGAGCGUUGUCCGGAAUUAUUGGGCGUAAAGGGUACGCAGGCGGUUUAAUAAGUCGAAUGUUAAAGAUCGGGGCUCAACCCCGUAAAGCAUUGGAAACUGAUAAACUUGAGUAGUGGAGAGGAAAGUGGAAUUCCUAGUGUAGUGGUGAAAUACAUAGAUAUUAGGAGGAAUACCAGUAGCGAAGGCGACUUUCUGGACACAAACUGACGCUGAGGUACGAAAGCGUGGGGAGCAAACAGG
rnacentral:rRNA from 1 species